AUUGAACGCUGGCGGAAUGCUUUACACAUGCAAGUCGAACGGCAGCACGGGGCAACCUGGUGGCGAGUGGCGAACGGGUGAGUAAUACAUCGGAACGUGCCCAAUCGUGGGGGAUAACGUAGCGAAAGUUACGCUAAUACCGCAUACGAUCUACGGAUGAAAGCGGGGGAUCGCAAGACCUCGCGCGAAUGGAGCGGCCGAUGUCAGAUUAGGUAGUUGGUGGGGUAAAGGCUCACCAAGCCGACGAUCUGUAGCUGGUCUGAGAGGACGACCAGCCACACUGGGACUGAGACACGGCCCAGACUCCUACGGGAGGCAGCAGUGGGGAAUUUUGGACAAUGGGCGCAAGCCUGAUCCAGCCAUUCCGCGUGCAGGAUGAAGGCCUUCGGGUUGUUAAAGG
rnacentral:rRNA from 1 species